AUCCUUUUGUAGUUCAUAAGUGUGAUGAUUGGGUGUUCAUGUUCUUGUGUGAUAUUUGCCUCCCACAAACUUUGUUACAAUAUCGGCACAUUACCCAUCUGACA